AACGAACGCUGGCGGCAUGCCUAACACAUGCAAGUCGGACGAAGCCUUCGGGCUUAGUGGCGCACGGGUGCGUAACGCGUGGGAAUCUGCCCUUGGGUUCGGAAUAACAGUUAGAAAUGACUGCUAAUACCGGAUGAUGUCUUCGGACCAAAGAUUUAUCGCCCAAGGAUGAGCCCGCGUAGGAUUAGGUAGUUGGUGGGGUAAUGGCCCACCAAGCCGACGAUCCUUAGCUGGUCUGAGAGGAUGAUCAGCCACACUGGGACUGAGACACGGCCCAGACUCCUACGGGAGGCAGCAGUGGGGAAUAUUGGACAAUGGGCGAAAGCCUGAUCCAGCAAUGCCGCGUGAGUGAUGAAGGCCUUAGGGUUGUAAAGCUCUUUUACCAGGGAUGAUAAUGACAGUACCUGGAGAAUAAGCUCCGGCUAACUCCGUGCCAGCCGCCGCCGUAAAAC
rnacentral:rRNA from 1 species